rnacentral:rRNA from 1 species
AACGAACGCUGGCGGCAUGCCUAACACAUGCAAGUCGAACGAGACCCUCGGGUCUAGUGGCGCACGGGUGCGUAACGCGUGGGAACCUGCCCUGAGGUUCGGAAUAACAGUUAGAAAUGACUGCUAAUACCGGAUAAUGUCUUCGGACCAAAGAUUUAUUGCCUUGGGAUGGGCCCGCGUAGGAUUAGCUAGUUGGUGGG